UGGGGAAUAUUGCACAAUGGGCGCAAGCCUGAUGCAGCCAUGCCGCGUGUAUGAAGAAGGCCUUCGGGUUGUAAAGUACUUUCAGCGAGGAGGAAGGCAUUAAGGUUAAUAACCUUAGUGAUUGACGUUACUCGCAGAAGAAGCACCGGCUAACUCCGUGCCAGCAGCCGCGGUAAUACGGAGGGUGCAAGCGUUAAUCGGAAUUACUGGGCGUAAAGCGCACGCAGGCGGUCUGUCAAGUCGGAUGUGAAAUCCCCGGGCUCAACCUGGGAACUGCAUUCGA
rnacentral:rRNA from 1 species